rnacentral:rRNA from 1 species
UACGUAGGGGGCAAGCGUUGUCCGGAAUCAUUGGGCGUAAAGCGCGUGUAGGCGGUUCGGUAAGUCGGCUGUGAAAGUCCGGGGCUCAACCCCGGAUCUGCCGUGCCGACUGUCAAACUCGAGGGCUGUAGAGGCAGACGGAAUUCCGGGUGUAGCGGUGGAAUGCGUAGAGAUCCGGAAGAACACCGGUGGCGAAGGCGGCCCGCUGGGCAGGAACUGACGCUGAGGCGCGAAAGCGUGGGGAGCAAACAGG